AAAUAACUACGAGUGAAAACUUAAAAUUUAAAGGACUUGACGGUGUCCUAUACUCAACCUAGAGGAGCCUGUCUAAUAACCGAUAACCCACGAUUAACCCUACCACUCUCAGGCCACACAGUCUAUAUACCGCCGUCGAAAGCCUAUCUUACGAAAGAAACAAAAUGGGCUAAAUAGUCUCACACUAACACGACAGGUCGAGGUGUAACUAAUGAGGUGGGAAAAGAUGGGCUACAUUAUUCAACCCGAAUAAUACGAACAAGACCAUGAAAUAGGUCCUCAAAGGCGGAUUUAGUAGUAAGCCAGGAAUAAAAUACCAAACUGAACACAAUGCAAUGGGACGCGU
rnacentral:rRNA from 1 species